rnacentral:misc_RNA from 1 species
GUGAAUCAUCAAAUUUUUGAACGCAAAUUGCACUCUCUUCGGAGAGUAUGCCUGUUUGAGGGUCAGCCUAUAAAAAAUCGACAUCGUCGCUGUUUCGCGGUGACAUUCGUCGGAAAUUGGGUCAUCUUAAACCUUUGGGAUUUAAGCGACUUAAAAUUUUCUUUUUGGUUCCUUGAACGUUUCUAAGAUUUAUUUCUUUACCCGUUUAAGGUAUCGAUUUUUAUUAGCCUUGACCUCAUUAUUGGAUCGCUCCAUUAAUCUUCA